CGGUCUCAGUUCGGAUUGGAGGCUGAAACUCGCCUCCAUGAAGUUGGAUUCGCUAGUAAUCGCGCAUCAGCCAUGGCGCGGUGAAUACGUUCCCGGGCCUUGUACACACCGCCCGUCAAGCCAUGGGAGCCGGGGGUGCCUGAAGUUCGUUACCGUAAGGAUCGACCUAGGGCAAAACUGGUGACUGGGGCUAAGUCGUAACAAGGUAAC
rnacentral:rRNA from 1 species